UACGUAGGGUCCAAGCGUUGUCCGGAUUUAUUGGGCGUAAAGAGCUCGUAGGUGGUUCGGUAAGUCGGAUGUGAAAACUCGGGGCUCAACCCCAAGACGCCAUCCGAUACUGCUGUGACUUGAGUCUGGUAGGGGAGAUCGGAAUUCCUGGUGUAGCGGUGAAAUGCGCAGAUAUCAGGAGGAACACCGGUGGCGAAGGCGGAUCUCUGGGCCAGUACUGACACUGAGGAGCGAAAGCGUGGGUAGCAAACAGG
rnacentral:rRNA from 1 species